UUCCUUCCUUCCCUCUCCCCCCUCUCCUUUUUUUUCCUUCCUUCCUUUUCCUCUCUCUCCCUCCCCUUCUCUCCCCGCCGACUGCUGCUUUCCUUCCUGGCCUGUGCCGAGCCGCUGUUGCCGCCAGCAGCGCCUCUCUUUUCCUCCCACUGCCGCGACGACGUCCUUCCCUUCCGCAGCGGCGUCGCCGAAGGAAAGGGAGCUGCCAUCGCCUUUUGGCCUCCUGCCGACGUCCAUUUGGCCAUCCGACGCCGGAAUCGAGCUCCCCACCACCGGAAACCCCUAGGCCGAGCUCCCCCGCCAUGAAAUCCUCACCGGCAGCCUCGGUCAAGGUUCACCGAAGCAGCCCCUUUCCAGCCCCGAUCCGGUGCCUUCUGUAGAACAUGCCACCUGAUGGAUUGCAUAAAGACUGCGUGCGGACCGGUAGUAAUCAGAGAUAGGUAACAAAAGUUAUUUUUGGAUUUUGCCCUGGUCGAGUAUAACUCUCUAGGUUGUGAAAGCUUAACUGCCGGAGAAAGGUCCCUAGUCGAACAAUAUUUUCUGGGCGCCGGCUUAAUUGAAGAACAAGAGUCCAGGCUGGAUGUAAGGACCCUGGUUGAGCUUCGCUCUCUGGGCGCUAGACCUAUUGGAAUAAGAGAGCCGAAAGGCUACUAGCGUUGUGGGUUAGGGUUCUGCUAAGCCACUCGUCCCAUAAGUCUUAAAUAUAUUUUUCUUUCUAAAUUAUAGUAUGACUCAUGUUCUGGUACACAAUGGCAUGAUAUACUGAAUUAAUGAAUAUUAUUUUAUUGAGGAGACUGCAA